rnacentral:rRNA from 1 species
UACAGAGGGGGCAAGCGUUGUUCGGAAUUACUGGGCGUAAAGGGCGCGUAGGCGGCCUUCUAAGUCAGACGUGAAAUCCCCGGGCUUAACCUGGGAACUGCGCUUGUUACUGAUAGGCUUGAGUGUGGCAGAGGGGGGUGGGAAUUCCACGUGUAGCAGUGAAAUGCGUAGAGAUGUGGAGGAACACCGAUGGCGAAGGCAGCCCCCUGGGCUAACACUGACGCUCAUGCACGAAAGCGUGGGGAGCAAACAGG